rnacentral:rRNA from 1 species
AGUGAACGCUGGCGGUAGGCCUAACACAUGCAAGUCGAACGGCAGCACAGUAAGAGCUUGCUCUUACGGGUGGCGAGUGGCGGACGGGUGAGGAAUACAUCGGAAUCUACUUUUUCGUGGGGGAUAACGUAGGGAAACUUACGCUAAUACCGCAUACGACCUACGGGUGAAAGCAGGGGAUCUUCGGACCUUGCGCGAUUGAAUGAGCCGAUGUCGGAUUAGCUAGUUGGCGGGGUAAAGGCCCACCCAGGCGGCGAUCCGUAGCUGGUCUGAGAGGAUGAUCGGCCACACUGGAACUGAGACACGGUCCAGACUCCUACGGGAGGCAGCAGUGGGGAAUAUUGGACAAUGGGCGCAAGCCUGAUCCAGCCAUACCGCGUGGGUGAAGAAGGCCUUCGGGUUGUAAAGCCCUUUUGUUGGGAAAGAAAAGCAGCAGGUUAAUACCCCGCUGUUCUGACGGUACCCAAAGAAUAAGCACCGGCUAACUUCGUG